CACUUUCAAGUUUAAAGCAAAAUUAGCUGCAACUGCACAGGAUUAGAAUAAUGUUCUAUGGAUCACCCCCUUGGAAAGGGCACGGCAAUGUAAUAAUAUGCUAGACAAGAAUCUGAGCUAAGUACUGCAUAAGGAAUUACAUUUCUUUUUGCACAAUACAGCUGGUGUUACAGCUAGUUUGCUUUUAAAAUCUAUCUGAGUAUUUAAAGCAUCUAAUUACUCUCAAAGGUGUCAAAAUGCUUCCUAAUAAUUAUUAAGCUGAAUGAAGGUUUUAGGCUUAAGGGAAGCAAGGGAGAAAUAGAGAUCGAUGGCUUGGCUUCGGGUGGGAAUGAGGAGAUUUCAUGUGUUUAAAACUACGGAGCUUUCAGUCAUGGUAUCAGUGAAACUAUCAGCAGAAGUUUGUAGAAUACACAAGCAGUUCAAAAAAUUGGGAGAUCUACUCUGCAAAAGUACCUAGAUUGUCCAAAAGAAAAACAGGAUUUUGGUCUUCCACAAGCACGUCAAAGGAGAAAGAAGAGGGAUUCUCUACAGACGAAUGACUUCAUUCAACUUCUGAUGAUGCCGAAAAGGAGGUACCCCAUCAAUCCAUCUAGGAGACUGAAGUGGACAUGCAACAGUGCAUCAGUGCUGAGAUGAAAAAGACUAUGCUAGAGUAGGAAUAGUCAGACUGGCUGGAUCAGAGUUUUGGAUCAGAGUUUUCCCAGCUAAUAGAGGAGACUCUAUCAGAGCUCUUAGAGGAAGCUGAGGUCUCAAAGUUGUGGACAUCUUAACUCAAAGCACAAAAUGACCCAUAUAUGUGAGCCACGAAGAUCAUGAAGAAGAACCAAGGCUUUCUACAAGGCUGAGGCUGCUGACUGGAGGAACUCUGUUAGAAUUGGAAAAAGCUCUAAUGAAAUUUUGAAUAAGAGAAAAAGGACAAUGAUUGGUGUCUCCAGUUUCUAAGGUUGAGACUGUUGUGCAUGAACUCCAAAGUUCAUCUUUUGCUGUAGACCUAGACUUGAACAGAUGAUUCGUGUCCUUAACCAUUUUCAUAUGCAAAAUCUUUUUCAUCAAAUAGAUUAUUUUUAAUCCUC